UACAGAGGGGGCAAGCGUUGUUCGGAAUUACUGGGCGUAAAGGGCGUGUAGGCGGCCUUCUAAGUCGAACGUGAAAUCCCCGGGCUCAACCCGGGAACUGCGUCCGAUACUGGAAGGCUUGAAUCCGGGAGAGGGAUGCGGAAUUCCAGGUGUAGCGGUGAAAUGCGUAGAUAUCUGGAGGAACACCGGUGGCGAAGGCGGCAUCCUGGACCGGCAUUGACGCUGAGGCGCGAAAGCCAGGGGAGCAAACGGG
rnacentral:rRNA from 1 species